GCAGGCAAGACCAGAGCUGCCUGCCUCGAGAAGGACAAGAAAGAUGUUUGACUGGGAGUUCUGUAUUGGGAGAAGUAAAUGAAGGGUGAGGAAGAGUCAGGCUGCAUGAAGGACAGUGAAACAUCCACUUCCUUCGACUCUGGUUAGUGAUCAGACCUGCAACUGACCCCAUCUUGGGGGAGUUUCUGUUCUGGAUCCAAUAUCCAUUGAGAAGGUUCAGUUUAACUCUUUCCUUUGCUGGGGUGGAUGGAGUGGCAGAGUCCCUUUUUUGUCAUAUGGUGUGCUUGUACCAAGCCCAGCUUACUGAUGUGUAUUGCAGAGUGACUGCAUAGUGACUGCAUACAUCUGGAUGGCAGACCAAGUUCUUUCCAGCACAGAGGAUACACCAUGUUCACAGAUCUGUGAUUGCCACAAGAACCAUCCAGAAGGCCACUUUCUACCCACCAUUCUGGAUGCCAGAUUUUCAGUUCUGCAG